rnacentral:rRNA from 1 species
UACAGAGGAGCCAAGCGUUGUCCGGAUUGACUGGGCGUAAAGCGCACGCAGGCGGAUGCGCGCGUGGGGUGUGAAAUCUGGCCGCUUAACGGCCAGGCGCCAUCCCAUACGGCGCGUCUGGAGUGAUGCAGAGGUCGAUGGAAUUGCCGGUGUAGUGGUGAAAUUCGUAGAUAUUCGGAAGAACACCAGUGGCGAAGGCGACUUACUGGACACAUAUUGACGCUGAGGUGGCGAAAGCGUGGGGAGCAAACAGG